CGGGUGUUGAAUGCCACAGUCUGCUCAGGCUUAGGACUCAGAGGAGAGAGGAGUGUGGUCUACACUGCACAUCUCUGCCAAGCCUGGCACGGGAUUUGAAGUUCCACACCACUGAGCCAAACACAUCCAGACCCUCUUCCAACCCGGGGAUCUGGUGGUAAGCAAAAUACUAUUCCAGCAAGUGAUGCCCCCAGUCUCCUAAGGAUAUAAGGGAUGUUAAGAUCAUGGAGGGCAGGAGAAGCGAGAACUCCAUGGCGGUUGUGGAGUCCCGUUAUGGAAGUGGGACGUGGGAGCCAAUGUGAAAGCUCCCGAGCAGAACUGGGAGAGGACACGCCCCAGAAAACUUCAGAAGGUGAUGACAGCAAUCAGCUUGGAGGGCCUAGCAGAGACUGAUAGCACUAGGAGGAGUAAUAAUAAUAGCACAUAAGAAUAUUAGCAGUACUAUUCGAUAAUAUUUAAGGAACUUUUAAAAUAUACCAAGCAUUGCCAAACACUUUGGAAGUAUAAUAUUAACUCAUUUAGUCCAGGCAGUGGGUAGAAUUUGUAUCCCCAUUUUAAUAAUGAGAAAAGUGAGGCUUAGAGAGGUACAGUAAUUUACCCAAGAUUGCACAGCUAAGAUCUGGUGGAGGCAUGCACACAGGGCCCUCUGACCAUGGGCUCUAAAUCACUGUACUAUGUUCCCUUCCAUAGGCCUCAAUCAGUCAUGUAAUAUUUGACCUGGUCGUUAUCUUAGGUAUUAUCUAGACCACAGAUUUUGGAUGCAGUUCUCUGGCUGAAGACCUCUGAGCUAGGAUAACCCCUUCUCUUUUGACAGACGAGUCAGAGAAUCAGAUCAGUGAUAGAAGUGGAGUGCCAAUCCUGAGUAUCACCUCUACUCAAGUGCUCAACAUAUCCCUAGAUCCUCAAUUCCCUGGCAAAAGUGAUUGGAUGGAACCACAGGCUUCCAAGAGGGGACAGUCAAGCAUUAAAUACGAGAAUGCACAUAUAACUCUUGGUGCAAUGUUUAGCACAUACUAAGCCUGCAAUACAUGCUAAUCCCUUUGAGCAAAUCCACAUGGCCAGUUUCUGUGCUCAGGGGUGAGAAUAGCUGGGCUGUGAUUGGGGCAGGGGGAGCACUAAGUGGGAGGGACUUCCUGUCUCAGGUCCCUGCCAUCUUGACUGACAUGCUGCAGCCCUUGCCAAAACCCAUGGGUCAGAAUGAAAGUAAAGUGCCGUUGAAAACCUUGCAAUCCACCUUUAAAACUGCCGGGUGUAGUAAAA
rnacentral:lncRNA from 1 species